UAUACGCCUACCAUGGUAGUAACGGGUAACGGAGAAUAAGGGUUCGACUCCGGAGAGGGAGCCUGAGAAACGGCUACCACAUCCAAGGAAGGCAGCAGGCGCGCAAAUUACCCACUUCCAGAACGGAGAGGUAGUGACGAAAAAUAACGAGACAGUCCUCUUCGAGGUCUGUCAUCGGAAUGGGUACAAUUUAAAUCCUAAAUUCGAGUCGUCUCUAGGUGCUCUUUACCGAGUGCUUAGAGUGACUAGAACGUUUACUUUGAAAAAAUUAGAGUGCUUAAAGCAGGCGAAAUAGCCUGAAUAAGGUGCAUGGAAUAAUGGAAUAGGACCUCGGUUCUAUUUUGUUGGUUUUCGGAACCCGAGGUAAUGAUUAAGAGGAACAGACGGGGGCAUUCGUAUUCCGGCGCUAGAGGUGAAAUUCUUGGACCGCCGGAAGACGGACGACUGCGAAAGCAUUUGCCAAGAAUGUUUUCAUUAAUCAAGAACGAAAGUUAGAGGUUCGAAGGCGAUCAGAUACCGCCCUAGUUCUAACCGUAAACGAUGACAACCAGCGAUUAAUCGGCGUUAAUAUAUGACCCGAUUAGCAGCUUCCGGGAAACCAAAGUUUUUCGUUUCCGGGGGAAGUAUGGUUGCAAAGCUGAAACUUAAAGGAAUUGACGGAAGGGCACCACCAGGAGUGGAGCCUGCGGCUUAAUUUGACCCAACACGGGAAAACUCACCCGGCCCGGACACCGUAAGGAUUGACAGACUGAGGGCUCUUUCUUAAUUCGGUGGGUGGUGGUGCAUGGCCGUUCUUAGUUGGUGGAGCGAUUUGUCUGGUUAAUUCCGAUAACGAUCGAGACUCUGGCCUAUUAAAUAGACGAUAUAUUUAAAAGUAUAUCGCGCUUCUUAGAGGGACAAGCGGCGUCUAGCCGCAUGAAAUAGAGCAAUAACAGGUCUGUGAUGCCCUUAGAUGUCCGGGGCUGCACGCGCGCUACACUGAAAGAAUCAGAGUGCGUUAUGCCUAGUUCGGAAGAACCGGGUAACCCAAGUAAAUUCUUUCGUGCUUGGGAUAGGGAAUUGCAAUUAUUUCCCUUAAACGAGGAAUUCCCAGUAAAUGCGGGUCAUAAGCUCGCGUUGAUUACGUCCCUGCCCUUUGUACACACCGCCCGUCGCUACUACCGAUUGGAUGACUUAGUGAGGUCUUAGGACCGAGGUAAAGGUGCUUGUAAUGAGUGCUUUUGCUUUGGAAAUUUGAUCGAACUACGUUAUCUAGAGGAAGUAAAAGUCGUAACAAGGUU
rnacentral:rRNA from 1 species